GCAAGUUCUCUACCGUGCGUGCAGUCGGAUCGUCUCACAUUUUUUGCGAAUAUUUUACCGUUUGUGACAGUGAAAAUCGACUAUUUUUUAAAGGUCUGAUUUCUUCGGGUUUCGGAUGUCAAAAUGAAUGGGGUGGACCAUGAAGCUCAACAACAGCAUGUUGUUUCUACCGGUGGUCGUCGGGCAAAUGUUGCUGCUGCUGCCGCCGCGGUUGCUGUAGUCUCGACCGCUGCAGUCGAACCCGCCGUGGUGAAUUCCCCAGAUUGUGAUCAAAAGGCAACAACAUCGGGAAAGUGGACCAAUAAAAUGUAUAAGACGAGUGCCAAAAGGAUUCAGAAAGAGUUGACCGAAAUCAUGUUGGACCCUCCUCCAAAUUGCAGG